AUUGAACGCUGGCGGCAGGCCUAACACAUGCAAGUCGAGCGGAUGAAGGGAGCUUGCUCCUGGAUUCAGCGGCGGACGGGUGAGUAAUGCCUAGGAAUCUGCCUGGUAGUGGGGGAUAACGUCCGGAAACGGGCGCUAAUACCGCAUACGUCCUGAGGGAGAAAGUGGGGGAUCUUCGGACCUCACGCUAUCAGAUGAGCCUAGGUCGGAUUAGCUAGUUGGUGGGGUAAAGGCCUACCAAGGCGACGAUCCGUAACUGGUCUGAGAGGAUGAUCAGUCACACUGGAACUGAGACACGGUCCAGACUCCUACGGGAGGCAGCAGUGGGGAAUAUUGGACAAUGGGCGAAAGCCUGAUCCAGCCAUGCCGCAUGUGUGAAGAAGGUCUUCGGAUUGUAAAGCACUUUAAGUUGGGAGGAAGGGCAGUAAGUUAAUACCUUGCUGUUUUGACGUUACCAACAGAAUAAGCACCGGCUAACUUCGU
rnacentral:rRNA from 1 species